UCUAGCAGGGACUAAAAAUGGCCAAAAGAGUGAGUAGCAUGAAGCUGCAGCGUCGGAGACGACACACACAGGUCCCGCGUCACGGCGGCACGUGACGGAGCACGUUCACAUGAAUGUGAACGUCAACGCAGAGAAUAUGCAUAUUACAAUCCGAGAGGGGAGAUCCUUGCCGGACCUUCAACGGUGCACGACGUGUUGCAAUGACUUCCACUGCCCGUUCUGUGUCUCUCGUUUAUUCUCUCCAACAAAACACUGCAAGGUGAAAAGCCAUCUCGAGAGCCACUUCCAGCGUGCAGUUCUCCAUGAAGGGUAUACCAUUCACAGAUGUGGAUUAAAUUGCCGACCAGACUAUCAUUUUCACUGCUGUUACUGCCAAUCCAUGCAUACUCGCAAAUCUGGCUUUGUAAAGCACCUCGCUUUGUGCAAGGCAAAGCACUCUGCCAUAACCCCCAUCAUCCCAGAUCCAGCAAUCCCCAUCAUCUGCACAUCAUGUACAAAUCAUCAUGUGACGGAGAAGACUUGGGGUUUAUCUAUCAGUCAUGUAUUUAAUGUUAUCUUUUUUUGAUGUUGAUUUUAGGGCUUGCCACGCCAGAUCUGUGGAAAUUACUGCGGGAUUUGUAUGCUUAUGUACACUCUGUCCAUUGUUACAAACGCCGGGUUUCAAUUCCAGGAGAGGGACAUGCCUUUGAUUAGGAAGUGGUGGUGUCUUCUUCUCAUGGAGCUGUUUGAAAUACAAGGGCAUGGCCAAAGGUUUGCCUUUUGGACUCUGGAGGCCAGAAGCUUGCUGGAGGGAACCCUUCAGCCAAUAUUCAGAGUGCCACGACCAGAGAGGGAACAGCAGACCCCGCCUCACCCCCAGUGAAGAAUCAGCAGACCCCGCCUCACCCCCAGUGAAGAAUCAGCAGACCCCGCCUCACCCCCAGUGAAGAAUCAGCAGACCCCGCAAUAAAAAUAAAUAAAAAUGUAUUCUGAACUGAAA